rnacentral:rRNA from 1 species
CCAGACUCCUACGGGAGGCAGCAGUGCGGAAUAUUGGUCACUGGGAGGAAUCCUUCCCCAGCCAUUCCGCUUGCAGGACGACGGCUCUACGAGUUUUCCCCUGCUUUUGUCCCUGGGUAAAAUGCCUUACGAGUAUUUUUUUGAAAGUACUUUCCUAAUAAGGCUCUUCUAACUCCGUUCCCUCAGCCGCGUUCCUCCGGAGGAUCCGCUCUUUAUCCGGAUUCAUUGGGUUUAAAGGGUGCGUAGGGUGUGGUAUAAGUUAGAGGGGAAAUACCGAGGAGCAACAUCGGGGCUGCCGCUAAUACUGUAGGACUAGAGAUCGGAGGCAGCAGGCGGAAUGUGUAGUGUAGCGGUGAAAUGCAUAGAGAGGAAACAGAACACCGAUGGCGGAGGCAGCUUGCUAGGCCGGAUCUGACACUGAUGCACGAAAGCGUGGGGAGCGAACAGGAUUAGAUACCCGAGUA